rnacentral:lncRNA from 1 species
CCCGGGAGCCGGCGGCGCGCCCUGGGCCGCUGCUGAGCCGGCCGGGUCGGCGGGGACGAGCGCCAGCCCCGCCGCGGCCCCUUGCCCGGAGCGGACCAGCGACACUCGGCAGCUCCAGCUCGCCCGCAGCCCCGCAGGCCACCCCCGCGGGCCGCAGGGGCUCAUGCAGCCGCUAAGGUCCCUGCUGGCUGAUGGACGGGCAGAUGUCCCGUGUCCCUGCCCAGCUCGUGAAGUUAUGUGGGGUGACCACCACGGAGAACCGAAGCGGAGCGGACGCGGCCUGGGAGGGAGUCGUUUGACUCCAGAACUGCUGGCUGGGUUCCCUUCCCCUUCUCUCUCCAGUCGCUGGUUUAAAGCAGCGCCGAUGCGGGGUGCCAGGCGCCUCCCGAGUCAAGACGUAGGUUUGCCGGCUCCUGAGAAGCAGGUGGAGCCCUCAGACCCGGUCCCACGAGGCCGGUCCCAGUGGCCCCGUCCGCGGAGGGCAGGCUGGCACCGCCCACCCAUCUUCUGGCCGCUGGGGGCUCUCAGACCCGUCGGUCGCUGCAGCAGCCUGCCCUGGGUGACAGAGGGACUCCACUGUCAACAUGGGACUCUGUGUGUCCUGUGGGCGCACACGCUCUGCUCAUGUGCUCGGUAGGCACCCCGGUACUGCUGCUUCCUCCUGGACACACUUGUCUUCCUCCAGACGGGUGCAAACCCCUUGUCCUCUGGAGGUGUUCCGAUGUCACCUGCCAGCGUGAUGAGGCCAACGCCUGCAAAGCCCUGGCCAGGGUCCCGGCCGCCAGCGGCAGCACAGACCCCUGCCUCAGGAGUCAUGCCCCGCCAGACUUGGGUGCGCUUCCCAGCUGAUCCGUGCCGCCCUGUGUGUGUCUCUCUGCCCUCACCGUUGAAGGCGCUUGUGCGAAGUUCAUCCCCUCAAUAAUUUGAUCCGCUCGUAAGUUCCCUGAGACCUGCUGGUUGAGGUUCCCUGCAGGGAGACCAGUUGACCGGCUCAAGUGCUGGCUCUAGAGUGGCUAUUGGCCAGAGUCCUGUGGGUAUCAGAGCUGCAGCUGGCCGGGCCGGGACGUCUCUGACACGGGACUGCGGCCAGUGCAGCUCCAGCUGGGGCACAGUUCCCGCCUCGAGGGAGGCAUCCACCUGGACACUGGCUUCUCCCUGCAGGGCGCUUCCUGGCUGUGGGGGGAGCUCUUGGUUCAGAGACUCACUAUAGGGCCCCCCCAAAUAACGGGCUGCUUUGAAAAGAACGAUCAUUAGCAUUUUCUGGGAAGCUUUUGUGCUGUUUACAUGUAAGGAAGGAGGCAGAUUAUAAAUAAUAGUGGGUUUUUUUUUUUUUCAUGCAACUUCAUUUUCCCAGAGAGGCAAAGCAGAGAGUCGGGGCUCCCGGAGGCUGGCCCAGCCGUGCCGUGCCGAGGCUCCCGUGCCCAGGCCCGGCCCUGCCAGGAGCGCGCGCUGCUGAGUCUGCCGCGGAUCGGCCAGUGCUGCUACAGUCGUGUGACUCGGCUUUCAGAACACUGGUUUCCAAAUGCGCUGUCACUAAAGCACCCUGGGUAGGAGAACUGGAUGCCGGCUCCCGCGAGCUGCGCGGGAUUUACGCCGCUCUCUUCUGUCUCUGUGGGAGCACUUCUGCACCACUGUCCGUGUCCGAUUCGUCCAGAGUAGGCGGUGCUGCUGGCGGGGUCUCCUGACCAGGGAGGGAGGGAAGCCACUGCCCCCUGGGCCUGAGCAAGGGGGGGUGGGGGCUGGGCUCUGGCCCUUCCUGCCAGUCUCCAAGGGCAGAAGCUGCACGUCGGAGCUGCGCUCUGGCUUGUGGACUGAGAGCUGCAGUGUAGACAGACGGUGUAGACAGCCAGACCUCAGCAGCUCCUGUCCUCCAGAGGCUAAACCCAGGUGGACACACUCAGAAUACUUGACCUAAAAAGACGGAAUUCCGUCCUCUGCUUCAGCUCCCUGAGAACUAAGAGCGCGAGGGGAGAUUUUCUCUUCUCAACACACGUGAACCGCCGCGUUCGUGCUGGGGGGCUGCACCCCUGGCCUGGGUUUGAGCCUCUGCCCUGCCGUUCGCAUCUUGGUGGCCUUGGACGGGUCGCGUGGCUGUCCCAGGUUUCAGGCUCAUUUAGGAAGUGGAGAUGGCUUCGCCCAUCGCACAGUUAGCACCAGCCUGUGGGUACGUGGGGGGUGUUUGCUCACAUGAGAGUCCCCUCGCGCACACAGGGCAGACACGGGGUCCAAACAGGGCUCUCCUCCGAGACGUGAAACCACACGGACGACUGGUCGCAACACGCACGCCAUGCCGGGCACCUGCCCUCCGAGGGAGCAGCGGGGACGUCCCCAUGCCACAGGGGACGCCACUGAGGUCUGAGAGGCACAGGCUCAGACCCCGGACCCCUGCCCGACAGGUGGAGAAGUGGCCGCCUCCAGGGAUUCAGGGACGAGGAGCCUGUGCAACAGGUGUUUCUGUGUCCCCACCGCCCCUUGGCUGGGGGUCUCCCCUGGAUGGGCCACUCCAUAAAAGGUUCAGAGUUUGAUAAACAGCUUGAGGCCGUUGCCGUGGCAUAGUGGGUAAAGCCGCGGCCUGCAGUGCUGGCAUCCCAUAUGGGCACCGGUUCGAGUCCCGGCUGCUCCUCUUCCCAUCCAGCUCUCUGCUAUGGCCUGGGAAAACAGUAGAAGAUGGUCCAAGUCCUUGGGCUCCUGCACCCACAUGGGAGACUUGGAAGAAGCUCCUGGCUCCUGAUCGGCGCAGCUCUGACCGUUGUGGCCAACUGGGGAGUGAACCAGUGGAUGGAAGACUUGCCUCUCUGUGUAACUCUGAUUUUCAGCUACAUAAAGGAAAUCCCAACUACUCUGUAGGGACUCUUUCGAACAGGCAGAGUGGACAGUGAGAGAGAGAGACAGAGAGAAAGGUCUUCCUUUGCCGUUGGUUCACCCUCCAAUGGCUGCCGCGGCCGGCGCGCUGCGGCUGGCGCACCGCGCUGAUCCGAUGGCAGGAGCCAGGAGCCAGGUGCUUUUCCUGGUCUCCCAUGGGGUGCAGGGCCCAAGCACCUGGGCCAUCCUCCACUGCACUCCCUGGCCACAGCAGAGAGCUGGCCUGGAAGAGGGGCAACCGGGACAGAAUCCGGCGCCCCAACCGGGACUAGAACCCGGUGUGCCGGCACCGCUAGGCGGAGGAUUAGCCUAGUGAGCCGCGGCGCCGGCCUAAAUAAAUAAAUCUUUAAAAAUAAUUUGCCUGUGGUA